UUACCGGUGCUGAAGUUAACACAUUAAGUGCUCCGCCUGAGUAGUACGGUCGCAAGACUGAAACUCAAAGGAAUUGACGGGCACCCGCACAAGCGGUGGAGCAUGUUGUUUAAUUCGAAAAUACGCGAAGAACCUUACCUAGGCUUGACAUCCCUGGCAAAGCUAUAGAAAUAUAGUGGAGGUUAUCCAGGUGACAGGUGGUGCAUGGUUGUCGUCAGCUCGUGUCGUGAGAUGUUCAGUUAAGUCUGCUAACGAGCGCAACCCUUGUCGAUAGUUGCUAACAUUUAGUUGAGAACUCUAUCGAGACUGCCAGGUAUAACCGGAGGAAGGUGGGGAUGACGUCAAAUCAUCAUGCCCCUUACGUCUAGGGCAACAGGCGUGCUACAAUGGCUGGUACAAUGAGUCGCAAAACCGCGAGGUGGAGCUAAUCUCCAAAGCCAGUCUCAGUUCGGAUUGAAGUCUGCAACUCGACUUCAUGAAGCUGAAAUCGCUAGUAAUCCCGGAUCAGAAUGCCGGGGUGAAUACGUUCUCGGGUGUUGUACACACCGCCCGUCACGGCAUGGGAGUCAAUAAUAUCCGAAGCCGGUAGCCUAACCCGAAAGGGAGGGGGCCGUCGAAGAUAGGAUUGGUGACUGGGCUGAAGUCGUAACAAGGUAUCCCUACCGGAAGGUGGGGAUG
rnacentral:rRNA from 1 species